rnacentral:rRNA from 1 species
AACGAACGCUGGCGGCAUGCCUAACACAUGCAAGUCGAACGAAGUCUUCGGACUUAGUGGCGCACGGGUGCGUAACGCGUGGGAAUCUGCCCUUGGGUGCGGAAUAACUUCUCGAAGGGGAUGCUAAUACCGCAUAAUGUCGUAAGACCAAAGAUUUAUCGCCCAAGGAUGAGCCCGCGUAAGAUUAGCUAGUUGGUGGGGUAAAAGCCUACCAAGGCGACGAUCUUUAGCUGGUCUGAGAGGAUGAUCAGCCACGCUGGGACUGAGACACGGCCCAGACUCCUACGGGAGGCAGCAGUGGGGAAUAUUGGACAAUGGGCGAAAGCCUGAUCCAGCAAUGCCGCGUGAGUGAUGAAGGCCCUAGGGUUGUAAAGCUCUUUUACCAGGGAUGAUAAUGACAGUACCUGGAGAAUAAGCUCCGGCUAACUCCGUGCCAGCAGCCGCGGUAAU